rnacentral:rRNA from 1 species
UACGUAGGGUGCGAGCGUUGUCCGGAAUUAUUGGGCGUAAAGAGCUUGUAGGCGGUCUGUCGCGUCUGCUGUGAAAAUCCGGGGCUCAACCCCGGACUUGCAGUGGGUACGGGCAGACUAGAGUGUGGUAGGGGAGACUGGAAUUCCAGGUGUAGCGGUGAAAUGCGUAGAUAUCUGGAGGAAUACCGGUGGCGAAGGCGGCAUCCUGGACCGGCACUGACGCUGAUGCGCGAAAGCCAGGGGAGCAAACGGG